GGCACGACGAGCCGAUGGCAGAUUCAUGGAAUUCAUGCCAGGCACGACAAGCCGAUGGCCGAUUAAUGGAUUUCAGCCCAGGCACGACGAGCCGAUGACCAAUUAAUGGAUUCCCGCCAUUGCACGAGCGGCUGAUGGAAUUUCUGUGCAAUCCUUUGUGUCCAGGCAGCGAUGCCGCCUCCAGCGGAGAAGCCCCUAUCUCAGGCAGGAUGCCUGUUGAGGCAGUGCGGACCCGUUCCCGGAGGAAUUGAUGGGGGAUCGGGCCCCGUUUCAGGGCCAGAAUGCAAGCUUCCCCGCUGGCACAUGCAGCAUUCAAUUUCCUGUACUUGUUCGAGCGGAGAAGAGCUGAGAAGUCUCAUUUAUACCAUCCCAUCUCUCCUCUGAAAUACACGAGGGGACUCAGAUAUAGGAAAGGUGACACCCCCCCGGGCGGGGGGAGGUCUCCCGUCCCCUUUCCUCCUUGCAAGUGCCUUCCAAGGCGGCUCCAGUGGGGAGAGGAGGUUGUAUGUGGCAAGCCUUUUUCUCACCAGUAAUCCUUGACAUUGAUCCCUUUUUUAGUAUUAUGCACUAUUACGUAACACACUUCCAGUACGAUGAAUAUUUUCUGUACUGGAGAGAGAAUAAGCUGAGCGAUUCUUGUGGCUUGCACUUUUGUGGAGGUCCGAGUCGUUUUUGGGAGGAACCCCGGGAAGGGCCAAAAUGGAUAGAGGGGAGCAAACACUCACACGCGGGUCAUUAUCUUGAAAAAGAGUUGGAAUGGCCAGUUUUGAACAGAUGCUGUUGUUCUGAUCAGAGUCCACAUUGGAAAGCUGACUUAGCAUUCCCUCUUUAUGACACUGUUAGCUUUCGUAUAGAUCGUAUCUUCCUUUGGCCAGCGGGCCUGGGGGGCCCAUGCUGUCAAAAUUUUCUGUUUGCCAUCUCAAGGACCGUCGCUGAGAGAUAUUUCUGGUGCGACGUUUCUGGCUACGGAAGAGAACGCGGGAUGGACGGUCCACCUCAGAGGGCCCCGGGAAGAGUCUCACAUGAAGGCCACGUCUCGUUUGCAUCUGGGGUUGACUGCUCCAGGGCCCCGAGGACACCGACCGGGCACUUGAUCUCCCAGAACGUUCAUCAGAGAAACGACGAGCAUCAGACCGUGAUCGACGACGUGUUCUCUGCUGGAGAUGGAGAGCGGCAGACAGGCUGAUUCACGCAAAGGAGAUGCUGGCAGUCCCGUCAUUCGUGAGGCCGAUGCCAGGAAGGAGCUGCGUGGGACCGUCGGCGGGGCGCUAGCCGUGCCGAGAAGGAGAAACCCGCCGUCUAAACGGGGGACCCACGGGUCGCAUCGCACCUGAAUGGAGUCCGAGACAGGACCCACCGCCCUCCUGGAUGAACGCGGGGACUUCCUCUGCAGCCUGCUGAGUGAUUCGUUGAAAGCGAGCAAGUGAACGUCACGGUGUGAAGCCUGCUCUGGAGCCGAUUUUUCCUCGGCGGUUAUUUUUGCAGCUUCUCAUGUCAUUUUGCCCGAGGCAGAAAUCUUCAGCCCUCGCCGAAAUAAACCUUGUCCCACUGAAA